rnacentral:tRNA from 1 species
GCCGGUGUGGUGAAAUUGGUAGACACGAUGGACUCAAAAUCCAUUGCCUUAAACAAGCGUGUCGGUUCGAGUCCGACCACCGGUACCA